rnacentral:rRNA from 1 species
GACGAACGCUGGCGGCGAGCUUAACACAUGCAAGUCGAGCGGAAAGGCCCUGCUUUUGUGGGGUGCUCGAGUGGCGAACGGGUGAGUAACACGUGAGUAACCUGCCCUUGACUUUGGGAUAACUUCAGGAAACUGGGGCUAAUACCGGAUAGGAGCUCCUGCUGCAUGGUGGGGGUUGGAAAGUUUCGGCGGUUGGGGAUGGACUCGCGGCUUAUCAGCUUGUUGGUGGGGUAGUGGCUUACCAAGGCUUUGACGGGUAGCCGGCCUGAGAGGGUGACCGGCCACAUUGGGACUGAGAUACGGCCCAGACUCCUACGGGAGGCAGCAGUGGGGAAUAUUGCACAAUGGGCGGAAGCCUGAUGCAGCAACGCCGCGUGCGGGAUGACGGCCUUCGGGUUGUAAACCGCUUUCGCCUGUGACGAAGCGUGAGUGACGGUAAUGGGUAAAGAAGCACCGGCUAACUACGUG